UGCCGCGUGAGUGAUGAAGGCCCUAGGGUCGUAAAGCUCUUUCAACUGUGAAGAUAAUGACGGUAGCAGUAGAAGAAACCCCGGCUAACUCCGUGCCAGCAGCCGCGGUAAUACGAAGGUCCCAAGCGUUGUUCGGAAUCACUGGGCGUAAAGCGUGUGUAGGCUGCGCGGAAAGUCAAAUGUGAAAGCCCGGGGCUCAACCUCGGAACUGCAUUCGAUACUCCCGUGCUAGAGUAAUGGAGAGGUAAGUGGAAUUCCUGGUGUAGCAGUGAAAUGCGUGGAUAUCAGGAGGAACAUCAAUGGCGAAGGCAACUUACUGGACAUUUACUGACGCUCAGACACGAAGGCUAGGGUAGCGAAAGGGAUUAGAUACCCCUGUAGUCCUAGCAGUAAACGGUGCUCGCUUGGUGUGGGAGGAUUCGACCCCUUCUGUGCCGGAGCUAACGCGUUAAGCGAGCCGCCUGGGAAGUACGGUCGCAAGACUAAAACUCAAAGAAAUUGACGGGGACCCGCACAAGCGGUGGAGUAUGUGGCUUAAUUCGAUGCAACGCGAAGAACCUUACCUAGGCUUGACAUGCUUGUCGUACUCUCCCGAAAA
rnacentral:rRNA from 1 species